ACUUCUAUACCGUGAGGCCAAAC
rnacentral:siRNA from 1 species